UAAAAUUGUUUAAAUUAGACGUUUUAUUUUUUAAUUUUCAUUUGAAUUUAUUUCAAAAUUAAAUCAAGGGGUUGUUUCAAUAAGUUUAAUCAGUUUUAAACAGUUUCUAGCAUCAAAAAAUUAUACAAUAUUUCAUUUUGAUAUAUGCAAGAAAUUUCGGAAACAUAGGCACAUGCUUUAAAAUUUUCAAUUUUUGUACAUUUUUUAAAAGAACAUAUAAUAGUCAUUGUUACAGUCAAUUAAAUGCAUUAAUGACGCUGUCAAAUCCGUAUUGACGAUCUGCGAUCGGCGUAUUCGCAUAAUUUCCGGCUCUUUAGUUUCGAAAGCUUGCCCGCUUGCAAAAUUUUUAGGUUAAGAUAUCGAGUAUUUUUAUACCGUACUUUGCCUGAAACAUUCUUCACGGAAGCCGCAUUGAGAUGGCAGAUUGUUUUUCAUUUUCGAUGAAUCUUUCCAUGAUGGAUUUAUUACAUUAAGGCGUGAACAGUACUCGAAGACGUAAAAUAUAAAAUAUUGGCUUUUAAUUCAGAGCUUCGUGUACAUCGUGCGUUAACAAAGUCAUUAACAAAGACGCUGUUUUUACCGCAGCCCACGCUUGCCAAUCCCCGGCACGCGUAUAUCGCAACGCCGGCGGAAACAUCCAAUGAGCGGCGACAAUACCGCCGUGUACGCAUCUUAACCAAUAAGGAUCUAUCUUACACGUUCCGCAUACCGUUUCAUGUCGAGUGUUUGUUGACGUUUUUUCCGUCGCCGGCACGCGCCGGCACGCGCUGGCACGCGCCGAGGCGCCAGGACGUCUCCUUUUCCCCGAAAUGCCGAUUCUCAAGUGGCCAAUCAGCUACUCGCUUCUCCCAUAAUUUUGCCCUUUCCUAUCAUCCAACCGCUUCCCUAAGCAGCUCAGGGUAUCGAUUAUGUAAUUUUUCCCUUAGGGCAAAAACGUGAAAAGUGAAAAUUUUCAAGUUACUGUCUCUUUCUAUUCAACAUUAAUAGAAGGAGAUAGUUACAUAAAACUUUUCACUUUUCACGUUUCCGCCCUAAGGAAAAAGUUAAGGUUUGUUUUUUAUUCCUGCACUGCUGCACUAGUGCAAUAAGUUAGAAUAAGAAAAAAUAUAUUUGUCUUAUGCCCGAUUUCUUCACUUCCCGAUAAAGUUAUUCGGAGGAUAAAUAUCAAGUUUAACCAAUCACGUGCAUGGAUCUGAUAGUUUAUCUCCUGGAUAAUUUUAACCGCAAGAUAACUGAACGUGAAGAAAUCGGGCAUUAUUCUAACUUAUUGCACCAGUGCAGCAGUGCAGAAAUAAAAAAGACCUUUACAUGAUUGCUGCCCAGUUCCGUCGCGAGGACAUGGGUGUAUGGUUGCAUCGAUUACGCUUUGCGAACGCAUGAUUUUUCCGUUCAUCGAUCAUUCUCGUUUAUUACUCCAUGCCAUGUUCUGAGACUACGGAAACAUCGUACGCGUGGAAUUCGCGCAAUCUAAGGCCGAAUAUUGAAUUCCGUGUCGUUCGCUCCCGUUUCUCUGUAUUUUCGAACGAAUCGUUGAAACGUCGCAUCAAUCAUUGUCGACAUCCGCUCCUCGGUUUCCGUGCACUUGUCGCAUGUAAAAGUCUGCGGUCUGAUUACGGCUAAACGCUCGCGUUUGAAAGGAAGGUAUGCAUUUAAUUGAGAAUAAUUCGUAGAAACGCGUGCUUGACGAGUCUGUAACGUAAGCUCGUACAUAGAGAUCAAGGGGGAUCGACAAUCCUCAUUUCGAUUCGGCAUUCUAACCUCAGCCUGACUCGCGUCGUAUGGCGCGCAGGAAAUAUGGCGGGAAAUCGCUGGAAAGUUACCGACGUGAAGUUGCCGCCGUCGAAACUUCGCGCCAAAGGAACGCCAUCGUCACUUCGCGGAGAGACGCAACGGAUCGUGCGGGGCCGUGGAGGUCUCGAAUCGCGGACUUAUUUAAUCGGGAAAUACGUGCAAUCAGUAUUCGUGUAUUCCUUGCAUUUCAGUAAUUAGCUCUCGCGUGUAAGUGCGCGUGCAUGUGUGUGUGUGUGUGAGGUUACGACGAAGCAGCGAAGGAUUCCGAGAGGAGAAACCGUUCCGUGUGCCUGGGAGACGUCGGGUGAUGGCGGGGCGAGCGCGGAGGAGGGUGAGUAACCUCUCAUUUACUUGUUAUUUACUCGCACGAUACUAUUAAUCGCUCGUGACACACGUCGCGUGUGUCGUCGAUUGUUUUACAAUCUCGCUGCAGCGUUUUACGUCGAAGGAUGAAUAAAUCUUCCCGUUUCUGUCUAUCUUUCUUCUGUGCGAAUAUUAUUCCGCAGUAGCUUUGAAGCUCAAGGUUUGUUAGUUUCUGUAAACGAUGUAAGAUCAUGGUAAAUGUGAAGUUUCAUUCGUAAGUUUCUGUCUCUUAUACAUAAAUAUCGUUAGCUGGGAUGCCGGUAUCGACGAUCACGUUGUAGGGAGGAGGCGAGGGCGGGAUGGGAAAGUAUUAUCGACGAUGAAAGUUAGAUGUGUCGCGCUUGUUUCGUGGGAAAGAAGGUGUUCGCAUGAGCGCCAUUUUGGAGCUACGAAGUAAUGUGUGUGUGUGUGUGUGUGUGUUGUACGAGAGAAUGAGUGAGAGUAGUAAAAGUGGAAGGUGGAAUUGAUAUAUCGUAUUGGCUCCGGAAUGUUAGGGCCAAAUAUGUAAAUAUGAAUGCGAAGACCUUCUUUUCCCUCUCGUCAUUCAUCUACCUUGUCUCGAACGAGUCGCGUUUUAUUUAGCAUUCGUGGCUUGCCUGAAAGAAUUUCGUGUUUUUCAUGAAAUUGAUUAAGAUGUUAAAAGUAAGUGCUCGAGUCUCGCUUGCCUCUAAUGCACUCUCUUCGACAUGGUCCUUACCAUCAAAGUCGUUUCCCUUUCCCGUUAUUUCCGAAUUUUCGGAAAAAGUAUAAACUAUAGAAAGUAUCAAUUUAUUGAAAGCAAAAAAAAUGUCCUUUUAUUGUCGCUUUUAAUAAAAUUGACAGGUGCUUCUGUAUUAAGUAAUUGAAAGUUUCAAAAUAUUUGCAAUUGAACAAUUUAAAUUCUACGUUGACUUAAAUUAUAUUAUAAAGUUGUAUUAUAAAGUCACUAUUUCAUAUUUUCAGAUUAUAUGAUUGGCAGACCAUGAAUCGGGAAGAUGUUCAAGGUAAAAAAUCAAGAAUCUAAUACUCAGCGAGAAUUUGAAAGACGAUUGAAGGAUAUUAUUGUGCAAUUUGCAGAGCAAGGUCUGAAUGCUGCAAAUAUAUUAUGAGAAUCCAGAUCCUAGGGAAUAUGUGCAUCAUUAAUUCCUAUACCAGUGCUAUAACAGGGCGAAGCUAUGGGCAACCUCCUGCUGGCAUUAAUAGUUGAUGUCUGCCAAGGUCCUGUCUCUAAAAGAUUAAUGUAUAGCAAAGAGCUUCAGGCCACUGUACUGGAAAUCAAAGCAUUGCCUGCACUUGAUAGACAGUAUUCUAAAAAUUGCUGUUAAAGAUCUAGAAAAGGCCAUUGCUGGUACGUAAUCUAUUUUUAUUAAUAAGAUUAAUUCUUUUAUUUUGUAAUAUAUAAAAUAUAUAUUACAAAAUAUAUAAAAUACAUGUACUUUUUACAAACAUUUUUAAAAAUAACACAAUAUUGUGAUAUUUGUAUACAGGUUUAAAUCUGCAAGUUGCGCAGAAACCAGAUGAAGUAGAUGUUAUGAAAGAAGAAAUAGCAAAGGAAUUAUCUAGUGUUCUAGGAAAUGUACGAUUAACUGAAAGAAAGGUUUACGUCUAAGCGUCAUUCUUGGGGAUCCUUAAAGCGUUCGAUUUUCAUAAAAAGCAGUAAGAUACCGGUAAGUACCUAUUUACAGAUUGUAAAGUUCCGAUCGAACGAGUUAUCCUCGGCCACGAGUAUCUAACAUAAAAUUUAAAGGGUUUUUCAGAAGUUGAUUUAUAAUUUUUGUUAAAUUAUGCUGUUUAUGUUUUCUUGCUGAAAACUAUAUUUCUGCUAUAUAACUAUAUUUUUGCGCUUAGAUCUUAUAGACUUUUCUUGUCCUUAUUUCACUCCCACGCGCAAUGUAACAAGUAACUCACUCACCGGAGACGAUUGAACGAGUCUGUCUUUUUCGUGUGCGAUCACCAAGCCGACUCUCGAGCCGCUCAGGCUCCAUACUGUUGUCUCAUUUGUUAUCUCCUCCAGAGACCGGAUCUUUCGAGAAUUUUCUAUAACCGCCACGGUUUAUUACAUAUAAUAUAUUAUUCGGUCGAUCAUUGGAAAUUUUCUAUUUCCUAUGCAUUCCGACACGCUCGGUGCAUUCGUGCAGUUCUCUAUCGUCGUAUGGAUUUUAUGGGGAUUUUAUUGAUUUAAUUUUUAAUUCAAAUAAUUUAAUAUAGUUUUAUUAUAUACAAUUACAUUUAUUUUGCAAUUUUUAUAUAUUAUUUAAUUUAAUUUCUAUUUCAUAAUUUUUCUAUUCUUUAAAAUUGUUUUAUUCAUUUCAAAUGUGUGCUUUGGAACUUAGAUUAAAUUAGAUUAAAUUAUAAUAAAUUAUUUCUAAUAUCAUAAAUUUAGAUUAAAUUGAAAAGUAAAAUUUUAUAAACUAAACAAUGGAAGUUUACCUUUUUAAUAAUAUCUUUUAUUGUUUGAAUUUACUUGUUCAACGAUGCAUGUAAAAUGAUAAUGCUCUGUGUGAAAAUUACAUUUUAUAACUUGUACAAUGUUAUUAAUGAGAUGCAUUUUGCUUUUAUAUAUGGCAUUUCGCUUUUAUAGAUAGAGCAUUUGAUAAAACAAAGAUGAGUCGAAUUAAAUUUCGCAAUUUAAUAUUGUGGCUGAUCAAUAUUUAUUAUAAAUAUUAAUUUUUAAUGUAUAAACAUGAUAGUUUUAUGAAAAUAUUAUUCGUGUUUAUUAUUUUUUAAUUACAAAUAAUAUUGUAACUAAGUUUACGGUUAUCUAGCAGUUUACAAUUUCUCAACUAGCCACUGUGUGUCAGAGUAUAUUCCAUUGAAUAGCUCUGUUAUUUCACGUAUAGCUCUGUUUUAUCACGCAUUUUUCUUGUUUGGUUGAUCGAUAAUCAUAAUAUGUUAGUGUGUUAGGUCUGAGAGCCUCUCUGAUGCCCGUUGGCAUUCCAUGUUGCUAUUCUAAAAUUGUGUGUUAUUUUCUUUUUCUCUUACCGUUUUUAUCUUUGAUAUUUUCCAGUUUAUUCUCUAAUAACUUUUUUAGACUGUCAAAUAUCAAUUUAUUUGUUUCGGAUUGCUCAUUUUACAGAGGACAAGUAUAAGUAAUUCUGUAUUCACAGCAUUCACCCUAUCACUGCUUCUGUUGUCUGUUGUUACCACUUGGGCGUUGGUUUUGUUUGUCCUCGAAGUCUUCUGGGUCCUUUUUGUUCCUCAAUUUAUUUUUUAGUUGUCGGUUAGAUUGUAGAUUCGUAAGCAGGUUGCGUCUUUUUUGAGGUUCUUUUGCUACCUCGCAACUUCUAUAAUUUGGGGGGUAUGAUCCUUUGAUUUGUCUUUAUGGCCAGAUUUAAUUGUUGCAGAUCAAAUUAUCAACAUAGUAGCCCGUCAAUAAUCUAAGUUAAUUACGUUGCGAUAUCGAAAUAAUAUAUUGACAGUAAAAUAACGUUCUGAGCAAAAAAGGAUCGUGACAAAUUGAAAAUAAAUCGAGAACGAAGGAACCGUGUAAGCAACGGAGAGGUCUUCAAUUCGGAGCAAAGCGCACAGAGACCGAUGCAAAGAAGCGUCGCUCACGGGGUUAUGGUGGGGUUCAAACGAAUGUCUUUUAAUUAGAGCAGAGCGAGACUUUACAAAACGUGACAUAGCACUCCCGCCGCGCCUGGCGGUGCCUCAACUCUCAAAUGUGUAACGCGACACGCCCGUUGCACUUUUUUUUUCGCUCGCGUUUGCGCCAAUUUGCAGCGCGACUGUCGUCGGGUAUAUGCACACGAGCACAAAAAGGAAAAAAAAAACAGGGCGCGGCGGCCAUUCUCUUUAAUAUGUCUCUACGAUACUUGCGGAUGAUGCCUGCAUUUCUACGUAGCCGUCACAACUGACGUAAGGUACAGGCGCGCCAUAAUAAAAGCCAGCCCGAACGAUCCCCUUCGAGCCACUCCGCGCUGAAGUAGACGUAGUAAUCUAGUUUAAAAGUACGGCAGGAGAAAGAUAGCGUAGUCUAUUUCACCCGCGAGGCCAUCAACGUGACGGUGACGUUCACGCGUUUGUUGAGAAAAAAAGAAUACAUAUAUUGUAUCUCGCACGUGACGGAUACAUUCUUGUAGCGCGCUGAUUCGCCAACGUUAUUUCUGCUCUAUUUCCGAAAAAAGCGAAACACCCCUUACCUCGAUGACAUGUAAAUAGCGUCGCGCGCCGUACCGGAUGAAAUUAAUCGCACGAAUGCAUCAAUGCCUCGAGGCGAGAGAGGCAAUCAAUCGAUUAGUAGUAGUAGUAGUAGUAGUACCCGGUCGCCUGGACGAUGGACGCGGACAAAUUUGCAUUCUGUCGCCAUCGACACGAUUGCACGGAAACGGGAGCCGAAAGAAUGGCUAAGUGUAGAGAGGAAGAGGUGAAAAAAGAAACGCGCUGAAAUAUUUAAGUCGCAGUCACCUUGUUAGCGUCUCUCGGCGCGCACGAGAUAGAAAGAGAGAGGAUGCGAUUCGAGGGUGAGUGAUUGACAGCGCUUGCAGUUUGCGUGUCAGAGGAACGGGGGUGGUGAAAGUGGUGGCGGGACGGAACGGCGGAAGCGGAAGAUAAUGGAACGCUGUUCGCUUUACGGUGAUGUCAUAAAUCGGGACGUAGCGGGCGCGUUCGUCCCAUGUAAAUCACGUUUUAUACGCUAAACCAGAAUUAUAUACAUAGCCGUGACAUACAUGCACUUACGCGCUCGUUAGCAUGCAUGUGUACGUCUCGAGCGCAAAAUCCUUUUUCAUUAAAUGUUCACCCUCCUCCCUCCUUGCCGUACGUGCGAAGAUUUGUUUUUACAUUCGGCUCGAUGCUCCGUUUCAUAGAGAUAUCUGUAAUAAAUCUGUCGGGACAGAUCAGCCGAAAAUCAUACAAAACAUUUUUCCACGUGAAAGAAGAUAAAUAUAUCGAUCGAAAAACACAGAAGCUCUUCCAUGUUAUUGAAUAAUCCAUACGAUUGUAAAAUAUGACUCUUCUCUACGUAGAAUAUACGCUUAAGGAAUCGCGAGGGGUAAGGGGGAGGCAAACGCGGGGCCCGUCGACGCGCCCGUCAAACCCGACGAAGGGGAAAGAUACGUAUUUGGCACGUGGUUUCCAUUUUGCGCGGUCCCGUGAUCGUAUAUGGUAUAUAGAGAGCCCGCACGGACGCUAAACCGCCAUGGCCACGCCGUGGACAAUGAAUUUCAGACGCUCCGUUGACGCACUCUGCACGAGUAUUUCAUGGCUGACUAUCCCCCGGACGUGAGACAUAUUGCCGUUCUCGACCGGUGGAUUUCAAUGCAGAUUUUAUGUUCGCGCCCGGCGAACACGCAUCAGCGAUUUUCGAAAAGCGCGUCAGAUAUCGGUCAGCCGAGCUCGGCAAACGAGUUUUCUGUCGCAGAGAUAUAGACAAAGAGAGAAAGAGAGGGAAAUAGACGGACAAUAAAAUAUACUCGAAAUUCACAGAAUCGAAAAUUUUAAAUGUCGAAAAAUGUCGACAAUUUAUAAUAUAAACGAUAUAAAAAUGUUGAUACGCCAUUCUUUCACCAUCUGUUGUCUCCCAUUUGGCUACUUCUGUAAUUUUAGUGUUUAUUGAGGAAAUUAUAAUCGUGUGCAGACAGACCAGAGGCUAUCAACUGCCCGAGGACAGCGACGAGAGAAAUAUCCGCGAAAAUGGUGCUCCUUUGUUAGGCGCGCGGUAACGCGCGUUAAUCGUUCAUGUGACGAUUGCGAGACGGUCUGUUAACGCAAAGCGAGCGCGAGAACAACUGGGCACAGUUGUUUGAUUAAAUACGGCGAACGUGCCAUACUAUUGUUCCUGCGCGGUCGCAAAUGCUGCUCUUAACGUCUCGCAGUUCGUUACCGAAAAGCGACGCGUAUACAAACGUCAACCCGAUUCGACGUAUGCGAGGAGAGAUGCGCGAACAGUUACGGUCUCGAUGUUUAACGUUAAUGAUUUUCCGAUUCGCUUCCCCUUUUCCUCCCCCAAGAAACAUUAGCAAAUUGAUAGUCCUCAUUAAUCUCCUUCUUAUAAAUUUGGUUAGGGCAUAGUCGCCGACGCGAUUGCUUUCUCCGCGACAAGAAGUGAAACUUUCGAGGACACGAUUCAGUCAUUAGCGCGUGAAGCUACUGUUCGUUCUUGGCAACCGGUAACUUGUUGUUAACCUCGGUAUUUUCGUCUAGCGCUAGUUACUUCUGAUUUCGAUAAUACAAGCUUUUCAGCGUGGAAUAUCAAAGCGCCGAAGUUUGCGCCGCGUGUAAAACAAACUCCGGGCAUUGCAUUCUGCAGAAAUAAUUGUUCAGCUUCCGCAUUAAUUCUUCUCUCAAGAUCUUAGAAAAUGGAAAGUGGGACUUGGUUUUGCAUAUUUUUCAUAACACCCUUUAAAACUACAAAAUUACGUGUAUUUUGUAUUACGGUUUAUGAAAUGUACCAAGAGGAUUACAGAAACAAGAAUUAAGUUAUGGAUCAGACCGCGGAAUAAUUCCUCCCCGAAGAGAGAGAGAGAGAGAGAGAGAGUGAGAGUGAGAGAGAGAGAGAGAGAGAGAGAGAGAGAGAGAGAGAGAGAGAGAGAGAGAGAGAGAGAGAGAAUUAGGAAAAACUAAACUAUGCCGAGGGAAUCGGGUAAAGUUGCGAUAAUCCAAUUGGCGGCGGACAAAAGGAGGAAAGCGUUGUAAUGGCGAAAUAGAAAAAUAUCGCGCAGCGGUGGAACAAAGUGAGAGAAGGUUUCGAAGGAAGAUUAAAGAGGGGAUUUUGUAAGUAGACGCGAGAAUUUGCUCCUGGUCUGUUGGAGAUGGCGGUGGAUCUUCUCGGAGGGGGGAGACGGGCGGCUUUGUCGGGCGAAUUCUUGUGGUUUCGGUGCAAUUACCUUGACUGAACGUUAACGACGGUUCGUAAAUCAGGAUAGAAUAGGAACAGCAAAUAUUCUAUCGGCGGCGAAAACGUCGAUUGGAAACGCCAUCGUUCUAUGAGGCUUGGGACUGGUAUAGCAGAGUUCAAAUACAUAACGGCAUUUAUUUAGAAUAAAUUACACGUAUGUAUACAUAAGGUUGUGCUUUUCUUAUUUAAUUUCGACGAGAGGGAGCUAUUAUUCUUUCACGAUUGCCCCAGCGGUUUCUUUUGCGUUCUUAUGUAGGAAAUUUAUUGCUCUUCUAUCAAACAUUCUAUCGAACGUUGUUUUGUUCCUCUCUAUACCCUUCUCGAGCAGCUGACAUAAAUUUUGAUCAGUGGCAAGAUGCCAAAAGUAAGUUCAAAGAUUGUACGAUAUACUUAUACAAUACUUGGGCAUUUUAUCUCAAUCUCAUUGUUAUGGCAACUAAGUUAUACGAUUUCUCCAACUUUGUAAUAAUUUUAAUAAAUUUAUCGUUUUACAAUAUCAAAUGCAAUGUUCGUUUAUUACAUGGUGGUUAGACCAGAGUCCAUUUAGUUCAUUUAGAUGCAACAUAAUUUAGAAUAAUGUUUACUGUUAACAUUAUUUAAUACAUAAUUACAUUUUAUUUAAUUAAAACAAUGCAUUUUAAUCUUGCCUGUUUAUUGUCCUUUGCUUAAUUAUUUUAAUAUUUUUAUGCUCUACGAUAUAACUUUAUGUAACGUUCUCGUACGCUUGAUAGGAGGCCAUAUUGCUCGAUCGCUAUGCUUAAUCUGUCUUAAAUAUUCAUUUUCGUCCCUUUAGAGAAAAUCCCUUUAGAGAAAACUGUCGCUAUUCAUUUGAUCUCAAAGUACGUUGCCUAUAUCUUCUUCCAUAAUUUCUUGUACCGGGAGACAAGGACACGAUGAUGCUAAUGAGAUUUAUUCUCUUACGUUGAGCCGCUUAUUCUUCCACGUAUCUUCAAUCUUAGGUUACAUCCCUUUAUUGCGCGUCAUACGUCGCGCUAUAUAAUUAGCGUUUCAGUAUUGUAUUUCUGACACAUUUCGCACAUACCGUCCACUCUCGGAAAAAUAACACGUCAGCCCGGCGACACUCGAUUUUUCAUUUUCGAGUUACUUUUUUGCGGAAAUGAUACUUGCCUGUAGCACACGAGAGACGCUCAGUCUCGCUCGGUCGCGUUAGUGGAAGUAAGGAUGAAUUGCCGCGACGUAAAAGCGCAUCGCUGUACGGUGGCGGCUGAUGGAGCGGGGAAAAAAAUUGUAGCGAGAGAUGAAAGCCGAAGAACCCUCGCGUGAAGGGGGGAAAAAGUAUUGACGCGGAAAAAAGAAUUCCGCACUCCGUCGUAUUAACGAUUAAUAGAGGCGGGCGGGCAUUUCUUUCGUCGCCUGAAAAUCUUUUCGCAUUCACCUCUUUUUCUCUCCCUCCCUCCUUCCCCCCCCUCUUUCACUCUCUGCUUGGCGAUGCGAAGUAACUCGGGUAUUGUAACUUCGCACGUAACUGGAUUCUCGAAACUCGAAGAGCAUUAAAAUGGAAGAAGUGAAGUGCGAGGAAACGAAUUAAGUGCCGACUCUUGAAGGGGGUGGCAUGGACAAUAUUCUUCAGCGACUCGAUACUUAACAAACAGCUAUAUUUCAUUUACAGCGAUCGCGGCUCAAAGAUUUAACUCCGGUGUGCCUCCGGUACGGCGACGCAACAUAGACCAAUUCAGAUAUGACGCUGCACCCCGAUAACUUUGCCCUCCAUCAUGCCCGUCCGACAUCUGGUGCUUUGUAUAUGUCGCCGCUUCAGUAAAUUUUUAUUUUCGAUAUACAAUAAGUGAUCCUGAGCUACGGCAUAAAACUUACGCCGCGAGGAGGAGAUCACUUCCAUAAAAUAAAUUGCGAGGGUUUGAGGGGUAGAGGUACGAUCGUAAAAUUUGAUUGCUUUCUAAAACGCGCUCCGCGCUAAGCUUUACAGGCCAGACAAUUAAAGCGCGCCUCAUAUACCUUCGACGCGCGUAUUAAAUAGAUAUUGAAACUAUAAACGUGGUGGAGGAGAUAGUGCGCGCGCGUUCGCCAAUUUAAUUGCUGUUGCCGAUUGCAUAUACAUUCUCGUUGUAGCUGCGAGGACAUUUCGCUGUAAUCCGACGUGUAAAAGCGAAAUUUCUAUCAGAUAUGAAUCGAAUAUCGUACGUUUUUUUACGUGACGUUAAAUUAAUUUUGUUAACAUACACGCGCGCUGUGUGUUGAUAUCCGAGAGGUAAUAGCAUUGACAACAAAAGAAGAUUAAACGAAAACGCGCUUAACGCGACCAACGCGGUUGAUCCGGAAAUAAAAUUUCUGCGGGGAUGAAUUUUUAUUAUUGCCACACGGAAUUCCACAUUUGGCUGGCGCGCCACCAGGAAAAUAAUAACGUAACAUUUCACCACGAGCCGAUAGACAUCUUGAUGCCUGCGUAGUCGUUCGAGGAGAUAUUACGGUCGAUAUUUUGGUACGGAAUCAAGGCAUUAAAGAUUGUUCAUGAUACCUUUAAGAGCCAGAUAAACGGAAUAAGGAAAUUUAAUAUAUUUAAUAUAUCGAAUAAGAAACAUUAUAUGAACUAUUUCUUAUUCUCGUUCUUUGUUACUCUGUUUAUUUGUUGGCUGGCCCUUUAAGCCAUGAGCCAUCACAUCCAAAUUGUAAGAGAACUAGUUAUAGUAUUUAUUAAAAAA
rnacentral:lncRNA from 1 species